UACGGAGGGUGCGAGCGUUAUCCGGAAUCAUUGGGCGUAAAGGGCGCGUAGGUGGCCCGGUCAGUUCGUGGUGAAAGCGCGGGGCUCAACCCUGCGUCGGCCAUGAAUACUGCCGCGGCUGGAGCACUGUAGAGGCAGGCGGAAUUCCGGGUGUAGCGGUGGAAUGCGUAGAGAUCCGGAAGAACACCGGUGGCGAAGGCGGCCUGCUGGGCAGUUGCUGACACUGAGGCGCGGCAGCGUGGGGAGCAAACAGG
rnacentral:rRNA from 1 species